rnacentral:misc_RNA from 1 species
CCAACAUCCUUUCGAAUAUGUCUAGAGGGGACUUUUCACUGUUGUGUCUCGUUGGAUGUCGUUACGCGUACGACUACGGGUGCCCAAGCAGUGGGAUAGGUUUCAGGUGAACAUCGACGAGGAACUUCAGCAAGAAGAGCUCUCAAGGACUCUGACAGAGAGGGAGAUCGAUGAUUUCAACCGACGGAACCUCCACAGCGUCUCGGAGCUCAGUGAUCAUUUGCGCUUGCUCGUCUUUGGGAGUGAUGAGUGUGUUACCUGCUCUGAGGAUAUUUGUGCAGCUGUCGAGUAUAUUGUGGGUCCGCAGCGCAGAUGGAACAGUAACUGCGAUGAAGUUUGCGAGUUUCGGCGCGCAAUCAGCAGAGCGUACCUGAAUGAAUGGAAGGCUUUUCAGUCUGUCCAUCCAUCGGUGCCAGAGCGCCUCGCGACACGCAGCCUGCCGCAGGUGUUUUCUGUACCUCCUCUUCAAAAGGCACAAAUGGAUCUUCUGAUGCAGAUGUGCCCGAGGAAUGCGGAGACGGGAGAUGGCAGCAUUUCGAUGCGUCUAUGGUAUUUAGAUAGUGCAGGGUCCAGAUGCUCUACGAGGCGAAGGUUUCAAUUCGACACUGCCGCCGAUGACGCCAUCCGGCUCACGAUGAGCAGCGCACGGGAGUUUGCAAGCAUGAGGGAAAAAACUGAUGAUACGCCGCUCAUCUUUGUCUUCCGUGUUAAGGGGCGAAACGAGUACAUUUACGGUUCGCAGCCACUGAUAAAUUAUCGUUACAUUCGUCACUGUGUGAGCAAGCGGGCUGAGAUAGAUUUGGUUGUGGAGCCUAAAGAAGCGACCCUUUUCGCAGUACCACUGUUUCGCCCGUCCUACCCGUCUCGGACCCUUGCAAGUCCUUCUGACGCAGAUGCGUCGAAGUCCAGUACCUCUGAAAUCUGUUUGUGGGACCUGACCAGCAAGCUCUCUAUCAGGAUUGUCGGCGGUUUUGAAAAGCUUGCCAUCUCCGCGUCGCGCAUGAAGGAUGAAAACGUGCGCGACUCUUCGAGCCUGUACUUUGCAGUUCUUGUGGAGGCGUAUGUUGGCACCUGGCGUUGCUGCGAACCCCAAAUCACUGGCUGGCAGCUGUGCGAGAAUGCAAAGAACAGCCACAGCUUAGCUGCAAGAGUGUACUGGAAGGACGGGGGAACGGUGACCUUCAGCAUCGAUCUGUCGAAUGUGCCAAGAGAGCUAAAGCUGUGUUUUACGCUGGUGGCUUCCUCGACCGACAGAAUCGUCGGUGCUCGGGCAGCCACUGCAGAGGAGGUGAUUGCCGCUGUGGAAGAGAACACGAAGAAAACCGACGAUCAGGGUCACUCGGUUUUUUUCUUGGGUACGGCCGCCACGCAGCUUUUCGAUUACGCUGCAAAAAUGCGGAUGGGUAUGUGGCGCAUCUAUCUAUGGGAGGGCAAGACCCGCGCGAACCCGAUUGGCUUGAACUCUAUCAACCCCGAUUCCAACGCGUGCACGUUCGAGGUGGAGUUCCCGUGUUUCGACAAGCCUGUUUUUUUCCCCAGUGGUCGACCUCCAAAGAGAAAAGAGGAGGAUGCUCGACGAAACUUUGCUGACCGUGAGGCCGCCCUGAGCAGCUAUCUGAUCAACAACGAAGUAGAACAACUGCGCCAGCUGAAGCGGGUGCUGAUGUACGAUCCCCUGGUGCACCUCUCGAGUGACGACAAGACUAUUCUGUGGAAGUACAGGGAGAUGCUCCUAGGCCAACCAAAGGCAAUGGCCAAGGUGAUGAGUGCGGUGAACUGGCUGAUGCCGUUCGAUGUGUACGAGGCACACUGCCUUUUGCGCCGAUGGUCCCCGCUGGCUGCGUUCGAUGCGCUGGAGCUGCUUGACGCGCAUUAUGCUGACUUGGCGGUUCGUGAGCAGGCGGUGGAGUACAUUGAUAAAAUGUCGGACUAUGAGCUGCGCGGUUGUAUUCUGCAACUCGUGCAGGUACUCAAGUACGAGCCGUAUCACUACUCUGCCUUGGCGCGUUUUCUCCUUAGGCGGUCGCUUCGCUCGAACCACAUAAUUGGCCACUACGUUUUUUGGUAUCUAGCUGCCGAAGUCAAGAAUCUGACCAUUUGCGAGCGACACGGACUCCUUUUGGAGGAAAUGAUCAAGCGAUCUCCGCACCGGUUGGACUACGUGCGGCAAGUGUACGUUUGCAACGAGCUGCUGAAGUGUGCACUGAGGGUGCAACGGGCGCCGAAGAAAGAUCGUGUCAAGUGUCUGCGCGCGAGUCUCGCUAAGGUGCGAUUUCCUCACCGCUUUACUCUCGCUCUGAACCCCUCAGUGGAGUGCUGCGCGGUCGAUAUCGAUGAGUGCAAGGUCAUGGAGUCGAAGAAGUUCCCGCUAUGGCUUGCUUUUCGAAAUCAUCUCGAUCAAGACGAGCACUUUUUCAUCAUAUUCAAGUCUGGCGACGACCUCAGGCAAGACCUGCUUACUCUGCAGCUGCUGGAGUUCAUGGACAGCCUGUGGAAAGCGUCCGGUCUGGACCUUCACCUCAUCCCAUACGGUUGCAUCUCUACCGGAGAAGGCGUUGGCAUGAUCGAAGUGGUGUUGAACAGUGACACGAUCGCCAACAUCACGAGACGCGAGGGUGGGGCACAGGCUGCGUUCAACGUUGACCCGAUCAUAAAUUGGUUACGUCAGUUCAACCAUGACCGAGGUGAAGUGGAGCGGUGUCUGUGGAAUUUCGUGCUUAGUGUCGCCGGCUACACGGUGGCCACCUACGUCCUGGGCAUCGGUGACAGACAUAAUGAUAACAUCAUGCUCCGCCAGGAUGGCACCCUCUUUCACAUCGAUUUUGGCCACUUUCUGGGCAACUUCAAGACGAAGUUCGGCAUCAAGCGUGAGACAGCGCCUUUCAUUUUUACUCCCAUGUACCUGUAUGCGAUGGGUGGGUCAAGUAGCCCGAUCUUUAAGUACUUUGUGGACGUAGCAUGCCGAGCGUACAACGCGCUGCGGCGGCACAGCAGCGCACUUAUGAUGCUCUUUAUGCUGAUGCUCUCUACGGGCAUACCGGAGCUACAAACCCUGGAAGAUAUCGAGUGGCUGCGCACAGUACUUCUUCUUAACCGAACCGAUGAGGAAGCCUCCGAGCACUACAAAGGCCUCAUCAACGACGCACUGGGCAAUUUUCGCACACUGCUGAACGACUACAUCCAUAUUAUGGUGCACUGAUGCCGUGGUCAUGUACUCGAGACAUGGCUGUUUCUUUUCUUUGAUAGAAUCAGCCCCUUUCGGGCUGCUGAUAUUUGCGUGUGUUUCUGUUUUCCGCUGAGAGACACAAAAAAAAAGAGAGAACACACAAGAUGCGCACCAUUUGACCUGGAACAGUCGCUGGGUUCUUCUUGAUUAUCUUCUUGAUCAGAGGCUUACUUCGAGCUUUCAUUCGUGUGGUGGUGGGACUGUGCAGCCGGCGGGGCGGAGAGCGCAGUGAAAUUCGUGCGCUUACGAUGUAGACCGGAACGACCGCUCGCGCAUACACAGAUGUGCAUCUGUUUUUUUAAGGGCGUCUUAGGCACCCCUCCCGACACCGUGUACUCUUUCUCUGUGCCUCCGCCUUCCUGUGCUUCUACACGUGCGGUCGACCUGCGCUUCCACCUCCGUUCACUCAAG